rnacentral:lncRNA from 1 species
GAAACAGUACCGGGGGCGGGCCGAGCGACGCAGCCGGGACGGUAGCUGCGGUGCGGACCGGAGGAGCCAUCUUGUCUCGUCGCCGGGGAGUCAGGCCCCUAAAUCGAAGAAGCCCUGGCGCGCCCUCCCCCCCUCCCGGGUCUGGUAGGGCGAAGGAACGGGCGUGCGGUCGAUCGAGCGAUCGGUUGGCGGCUCUUUCUCCUGCUCUGGCAUCCAGCUCUUGGGGCGCAGGCCCGGCCGCCGCGGCGCGCGCCCGGUGGCCGUUGGCGCUCGCGCCGCGUCUUUCUUCUCGUACGCAGAACUCGGGCGGCGGCCUAUGCGUUUGCGAUUCGACGAGGAGUCGUCCGGGUGGUCGGCGGCGGCGGGCAGCUGCUCCGCCCCGCUCCGGGGGAGGCGGCGGCGGCAGCGGCCGCGGGAUUUGGAGCGGCCGGGGAGGCGGGGGUGGCCGGGGCCGGCUUGGAGGCCUGGCGCCACCCUUCGGGGCCUGCAAGGACCCAGUUGGGGGGGCAGGAGGGGGCCGGAGGAUGGUUGGUUGUGGGAUUUCUACUUUGCCUUUUCCUCCUUAUGCCGCCUUAGUGAGGGGCGGGAGCUCUGGCGGCAGCCCCGGGGUGGGGAGACGAGCUCCGGAGUCGGAAGAGCUGGGUUUUCUUCCGGGCCUAGCCACCAGUUGGCGGAGUGACCUUAGGCGAGUCACUCUGUAAUUUGUCUGCGCCUCAGUUUCCUCCUCUGCCUAUCAAUGUGUGUGGGGUUGAAAUCGCUUUGUAAACUAUAAAGCGUGGGUGUACGUAAAGGAUGGUUAUUGUUUAUAAUUUUUUUUGAGUUGUAAGAAAACUUAGCAGUUCCCCAAUCCUUGGGUUUUGAACCUGGGAACCUUGGAUUGGAGUUGGGGAUCCCCAAACUUCCUGAAAUUGUGGGAAUGUGCGGUUUGGGGGAAUGAUGGGAAUUUGUGGGAAUGUGCGUUUUAGGGGAAUGAUGAUCCAUCGCUAGCAAGUUUUCCAAGGGGGCUGUGACCCAGAAGAGUUAAGAAUCACAAUUUCUUCAUGCUACAGAGAGGAAACUGAGGCCUAGAUGUCAUUUGGGACCCUUCACAACCAUUUUGAAGCCCUGUUUGAGUCCCUGGGAUAUGUGAGCUGUUUCUAUGCAUAAUGGAUAUUCGGGGUUAACAACAGUCCCCUGCUUGGCUUCUAUUCUGAAUCCUUUUCUUUCACCAUGGGGUGCCUGAAGGGUGGCUGAUGCAUAUGGUACAAUGGCACCCAGUGUAAAGCAGCUACAAUUAGGAGUGGAUGUGUUCUGUAGCAUCCUAUUUAAAUAAGCCUAUUUUAUCCUUUGGCCCGUCAACUCUGUUAUCUGCUGCUUGUACUGGUGCCUGUACUUUUCUGACUCUCAUUGACCAUAUUCCACGACCAUGGUUGUCAUCCAUUACUUGAUCCUACUUUACAUGUCUAGGCUGUGUGGUUGGUGGUGAAUAGGCUUCUUUUUACAUGGUGCUGCCAGCCCAGCUAAUUAAUGGUGCACGUGGACUUUUAGCAAGCGGGCUCACUGGAAGAGACUGAACCUGGCAUGGAAUUCCUGAAGAUGUUUGGGGUUUUUUUCUUUCUUAAUCGAAAGUUAACAUUGUCUGAAAAGUUUUGUUAGAACUACUGCGGAACCUCAAAAUCAGUAGAUUUGGAAGUGAUUCAAAGCUAAACUUUUUCCUUGGCCCUCCUUGUGUUCUAAUUGCUUGCAAGUGUAAUACUAGGAUGUCCAAGAUGCCAGUUUUUGCUUCUUUGUUAGUUGUCAGCUGCUUUUAUCAAAUUUCAGGCCAUUAUCCAACAAACACUAUAAAAAUGUUUGAACAAUUGGAUUUCAAACAUUUUCGUUUUGUGGAGUGGUGCUCACCAAGUGGUACAGCCCUAAGCAAGUGAACACAAACACAUUUAAGUGUAUUUUGUCUGAUUAGAUGUUAGCCAGUUAUGCUAUUUCAUUCAAAUGUCUGAAAAAAUCAAUUGACUAUUCCCUUUUCCUAAAGGGCAGAGACAGAUAAUCUCACUUCCAGAGAAAUGACUUGGAGAAAAAAAAGUGUUGGUCUUUUUGCUCUUUUGUAAUUAAAUCCGGAUGUACCUCAAAAGACUUAAGACUGUGGUGAUAAGAUGCUUUCCUCAGCAGAAAGGAGGGAAAAAAAACAACUGGAACUCAAAGCUUGAAAUUCUGUGGCAAAACAUGAGAUGUCCAGGAUUGGAGGUUGAAAAGAUUUCACUACAGUGUUCUGCAAUAGUUGGAGCAGAUAACUUUCAGUGUAGCCACAGCCAUGGACUCCAGAUUUCCAGAUUUUCAAGACCUGGACCUGGAACCCGAAAGAGCUUGUCACGAUGCGGCAGGAACACUGGAGGUAGAUUUUUUUUUAUUUUUGAAUUUUGGGACUGUUGACCUUGCUGUGAGAAAAGAGACAACGACUGAGCAAGCACUACCACCAGCACUGUUACUGGGAAUUAGAAGACCUGAGUUUCUGUCCAGACCCUCAGUGCAAACUGAGGAUGCUCCAUCCAAAGUGAAUUAUGCCUACAGACCUGGUACCUGGAUUUUUGCCCGAGAUGAUUCCUACCACCUUACUACUGACGAAGACACCCAUUCCAGUGGACCACUGUGACCCAGGAGGCAUUCAGCCAUCAUGAUGUGGCCUUUACCUCCACUCCUGUCUUGUUCUACCCAGAUUCAGCACAGCCCUUUAUAGUGAAGUCAGAGUCCUCAAGCCAAAUAGCUAAAGCUGUUUUAUCACAACAAAGGCCUAGUUUGUUCCAUGAGUGUGCAUUUCAUUUCUUCAGUUAAAGCCUUCAGAGACACACAAUAAAUUUGGACCAGGGGAUUUUUUAGUUAUUAAUGCUCUCUGAAGAAAGGCAACAUCUUUUUGAGAGCAGCAUUGGACCACACCCCACAAUCUCAAAUGAUUGAAAUUCAUGAACAUCUAGGAUCCCGUGAAGGUCACUGGACCCUGUUUUUUCUACUUCAAAUCCUGUAGUAGCCUACUGAAUGAGAAAACAUAUUCUGACCCAUUGGGAUCAAAUCAAAGGCACAGUGAACUCCUCAUAGCAUCUUCUUUGGAAUUACUCAGGAACCAGAACUUUUUACACAAAUGUAAGAAAUUCUACCAAGGAGUCCCCUUACCUAACAGCAUCUCACAAGGCUGCACCAGAUUCCAGAAAAGGCUUCUCUUGAUACAUCAAGCAUUUUGUGACCGACUUAUUCUUAGAUCAUUGGUUUUCCAAAGGCUUUGUGGCCAUGAAGCCCUUUGAGUGAAAACUGUGCAGAAGCCCAGAGUAAAAGUGAAGCUGCUCUGGAUGAAGUAGUGAAGCAAGAGUAGGGGCCUGAAUCCUGCUACAACUAUCUUCCUUUACCACCGUGGUGACACCUAAGGGGACUUCCUUACAACACCUUGAACUCUUCCGAACACAGUUUGAAAACCACUGCCCCAGACAGCAAUAUGUUUGACCUGAAUGGCAUUCCAAUCUUUUCUGUACCUCCACUCAGCACAGUUCAUGUUCAGUAGAUGCUGAACAUUCUUAGAAAUACUGUGUGUGAACUUAGAAAAGUGCAAGAAGACAGGCAUGUCUUUGACCCCAGGAAUGAUCAUUUGCUGAAGAUGGUGUCAAGUGAACCUAGAUUAACAGCCCUCCACUCCAGAUGGAUAUCCAGUGAUUCCUAGAAUGGGAUAUAGCCAGAGAACAAUUCUAUGCACCCUACACUGACAGACUCCCUUAAGCAACACCAGAUGCUCUACUGGUACUUGAAGUACAUGACUUUGAAGUCUUGACCCUCCAUGAAUACCUGAAUUAUCAGCAAGCGGGUUUUGAAGCUGGUGCCUCAUUGAGGCCAUAUUAGAGCAACUUGUACAUUUGACCUCUUGUUAUCAGCCAUGGUACUCUACUUCGUGUGCAAGAGAUAACUAUGAAAGCCAAAUUCAAAUACUGGCAACAUUUCCUAAAGGGGCUCAAUAUCUAUCAUUCGUCUUCUUUUCCAAACUACACAUCACUGUAUGACUCAACCAGUAGCAGUUAUAUUGCCCCUUGGUUUUUAUUCAGUUUAACUACUGUUUCCAAGAUAAAUGAGCUAAUAAGCUUUAAAAAAAAAAAAAAAAAAGGCUGAAUUCUUUUUUCUUCAUCACUGGCAUAUCUGCCUAUUCUCCAGAAUUAUUAUGACUAUUCAGCUCACUUUAACAGUUGAACUUCAAGCGACAAUCUUUGAACACCCCUUCUCAUGUGAUUUAAAAUGAAACCAUUUGGAAAAGUUUCUUCUAGCCAGUAAUAGAUUUUUUUUUUAAUUGCUCUGCCUUGUGCCGAGAGAUGUUCUUUUAAGAUGAAUCUUUUGAUGUCUGAUACCACCAAAUAUAGGUGGUAGGGAGAGUUGGAGGCUGGCCCUUUGAGCAGGCCAUUAGCUUACUUGCUGGGCAUUUCCGAUAGCUUAUUGCCUACCUUUUUGCUGGAAACAAACUGAUUUGAAAAACAAAAUCUAUGAAGACUGCAGCUAAGGAUUUUAUCGGUAGACUUAAGAGCUUUUGUCCUUGUGGAUAUUUUAGUGGAACCACAUCAGUCUCAAUACUGUCAUUUUACACUGACUCAGAGCAGCUGACUUCAUUCCUUGCCAUGAUAUAUAUUUAAGGCAGGCAUUGUAACAGACAUAAAGACAACUUAUCUGUUUCAGCAGGAAGGAUUCAGUUUAUGAACUCUCAGACCAGAUCAUGUUGAACAAGGAGACUUUGAUGUGUGUCAUGAGAAAACUCAUUCUUUACUUCCCAGUCAAUUUAAAGGCCAGCUAUCCUGAGCUACUCGAAUGAAUGCACUGGUUAAACAUUGGAAAUAGUUUGUUUAUAUCCUUGUCUCUCUCUAGGCCAAUUGUGAUUACAUGACUCGACUCUACAUCUCGUCAAACAAGGCCUAGGUCUGGUUGCUGUAGACUGCUCGCCCUCAACAAAUAAAAUCUGGUUGACUAGCCUCCUUGUAUAUACAACUAUUAUUUGUUAAGAAGAAAUUAUCGUCAAUUUUCUACUACCUUCCAAUUGUCAGCUCUUUUUUUCCUCUCUGGUUUUUCCUAUACUUUACAGAAAAAGACAUUGAUCUAUACUGCCAUUCCCUCUAAUCCUGCCAUACUCAGUCAAAAGGAAUGACUUAAGAUGAAGAUGAUCAUCUGCUCGAGUCUAAAAUAUACAUUGUAUAUAAGAAUUGGUGAUUAGAAAAGCAAAAAACCUAAAACUUAAAUCUAGGAGUCUGUAUACUGUCUCCAUGUCUCCAUGCCUCAGAUCUCAUCUAAAUCUUUGAACAGCACCAUUCAACCAAUCUGAGGCCUUGACUUGCUUGUAAGAUGAUUCUCAGAGAUCGGCUGAGUUAAAAAAGAUGACGACUUGAUUACCAAAGAAAGUAGGGCCAACUUUGACAAAUCUGGCUCUGCUGACCCUGUCACUCCCAGAUGUAGCAUAGACUCCUAAACAGAACCUCAAGUCUGAUUGAGGAUAAGGCCUUCUCCUGAGCUGAAAGUUCUUUGGCAGAUGAGCAAGAAACUGAAAGCUGAUGUACCUGACUGGCUCUGUAAGAUCAGAAAACUGUAUCCAGAAUAAGCCCUAUGGAUUAACCCCUGAGUACCCAGAGUAAAAACUAAUUUACAGAACUUCCUUAUUGAUCUGCUGGUUCUUCCAGAUCAUAUUCUGGCUAUUGGUAUGGCUGGCCUUUCUGAAGGUACCCUGCUUGUCUAUUUUCCUGACUCAGCUCUUGCCUGCCUUUUUCACAUGUUGCUGCAAUUAGACUCACCGUGAGGACUACAGUCAAUUUCAGUCUAUCUUGUGCCCAAUACAACAAGGAUUUUUAAUAGUAACAACCCACACCUCACCCACUAGGACUCAAUGUUCACAACAGGAAGGACCAUUGCUGCAUACUCCUUGACCAGCAACUUUUUUGAAGAUAUUUUUAAGUGCAGAGUAGGCCUCUAUUCCUGUAUGUAAUUGUUCAUUUUCAGCACCUGGAACCUCAUCUAUCGGGUCUGGAAGGAAUACAGCAGUUCGAAAGCCGCGUCCAUUUCUCUCCUUCAGUAGUGCAGAAAUGAGUCCGAUUCACCAGUACACACAGAACUGUACCAGUUCAACCUAGCAAAAGAAGAAAAGUUUCCACUGUACUUAAAAUUUACAGCUGACUCAAAUUGCCUCACAGAAUUAUUUGAUGUAGAAGGCUAGUUGUCUUACUUCAGAUCAGCAGGACAGUUGGGCUCUCAGACUCAUGACCACUGAGUUUGCUUGUGUUGAAACUGUGGUUUCAUCCAACAUAUGCUAUUGGACAUGAUUAUUAUUCCAUUCAAAUGGAUUACAGACUUCUUGAGGACAGGACAAACUUAUCUCUCAUGGUGUUUUUUUAGAAUACUUUUAUAACCAAGGAAGAAACCAUGCCAGCUGUUACCAUUCAACUUCUUAAGCAGAGAUUAAGCUUUUUCAUAUCUGUUCUUAUCCUGGACAUCAGUAGUUUUUAAUUGCCCAGCAUCCGUUCCAUCUUGUAACAACUCCCUGAUGUUUCUUAAAACCACCUCUUCCUAUUUUCAGUCUGUGGUUUGGACAGUCUGACCCAACCUUGAGCUUUGUGGGUGAACAUGUAAUUCAGACCUCAUCAAUCAGCAAAUCCAUCUGAACUGUGGAGGAGAAGCUCUCUUUACUGAGGGUGCUUUAGCUUUGUAGGAUGAAAACCUCAAACUAACAGGGCCUACCAUGUAGAGAAUGAAGCCAGUGCAGGGGAAAGCAGAGCCAAAAUAUGGAGAGACUUGAAUCCUGAUGACAGCGUUUGUGCCCCUGGAUCCAACCGUGCCUGAAGCUAGAAUAUCCCCUGGACUUUUCAGUUAUGUGAACCAAUAAAUACCCUUUUUUGCUUAAGUUACUUUGAGUUGGGUUUCUGUUACUUGAAAUUGAAUCCACACUAAUAUAUCUACCAACAUUGAGACUUGACAGAUCCAAGUAUUUAUUAAGCUAGAGGUCAUGGUCACUGAAAUUACUUUCCAAAGUGGAAGACAAAAUGAAACAGGAACUGAGGGAAUAUUUAAGAUCCCACAGAAGCGUAAAAAUGACAUGGUAGAAAGUAAUAGAAAACCUAAAUGUCUGUCAUUAAAGGAUAGGUUAAGGUGUGGUUCAGCCAUAUAGGAAUAUCUCGUAUCUGUUAAAAUGAAUAAAGUACAUUCAUUGUGUAUGGAAAAAUGGCCAUGAUACAUUAGGUGAAACAAGUUAUUAAUAGAAAAGUGU